GACGAACGCUGGCGGCGCGCCUAACACAUGCAAGUCGAACGAGCGAGAGAGAGCUUGCUUUCUCGAGCGAGUGGCGAACGGGUGAGUAACGCGUGAGGAACCUGCCUCAAAGAGGGGGACAACAGUUGGAAACGACUGCUAAUACCGCAUAAGCCCACGGCUCGGCAUCGAGCAGAGGGAAAAGGAGCAAUCCGCUUUGAGAUGGCCUCGCGUCCGAUUAGCUAGUUGGUGAGGUAACGGCCCACCAAGGCGACGAUCGGUAGCCGGACUGAGAGGUUGAACGGCCACAUUGGGACUGAGACACGGCCCAGACUCCUACGGGAGGCAGCAGUGGGGAAUAUUGCACAAUGGGGGAAACCCUGAUGCAGCGACGCCGCGUGGAGGAAGAAGGUCUUCGGAUUGUAAACUCCUGUUGUUGGGGAAGAUAAUGACGGUACCCAACAAGGAAGUGACGGCUAACUACGUGCCAGCAGCCGCGGUAAAACGUAGGUCACAAGCGUUGUCCGGAAUUACUGGGUGUAAAGGGAGCGCAGGCGGGAAGACAAGUUGGAAGUGAAAUCUAUGGGCUCAACCCAUAAACUGCUUUCAAAACUGUUUUUCUUGAGUAGUGCAGAGGUAGGCGGAAUUCCCGGUUGUAGCGGUGGAAUGCGUAGAUAUCGGGAGGAACACCAGUGGCGAAGGCGGCCUACUGGGCACCAACUGACGCUGAGGCUCGAAAGUGUGGGUAGCAAACAG
rnacentral:rRNA from 1 species